rnacentral:rRNA from 1 species
CGUAGGUGGCAAGCGUUGUCCGGAAUUACUGGGCGUAAAGCGCGCGCAGGCGGUUCCUUAAGUCUGAUGUGAAAGCCCCCGGCUCAACCGGGGAAGGUCAUUGGAAACUGGGGAACUUGAGUGCAGAAGAGAAGAGCGGAAUUCCACGUGUAGCGGUGAAAUGCGUAGAGAUGUGGAGGAACACCAGUGGCGAAGGCGGCUCUUUGGUCUGUAACUGACGCUGAGGCGCGAAAGCGUGGGGAGCAAACAGGAUUAGAUACCCUGGUAGUCCACGCCGUAAACGAUGAGUGCUAAGUGUUAGAGGGUUUCCGCCCUUUAGUGCUGCAGCUAACGCAUUAAGCACUCCGCCUGGGGAGUACGGCCGCAAGGCUG